UACGUAGGGUGCGAGCGUUGUCCGGAAUUACUGGGCGUAAAGAGCUCGUAGGUGGUUUGUCGCGUUGUUCGUGAAAACUCACAGCUUAACUGUGGGCGUGCGGGCGAUACGGGCAGACUGGAGUACUGCGAGGGGAGACUGGAAUUCCUGGUGUAGCGGUGGAAUGCGCAGAUAAUCAGGAAGAACACCGGUGGCGAAGGCGGCUCUCUGGGCCUUACCUGACGCUGAGGAGCGAAAGCGUGGGGAGCAAACAGG
rnacentral:rRNA from 1 species